ensembl:lncRNA LINC01345 long intergenic non-protein coding RNA 1345
ACGUCAACCACCGGCCUAAGGAAAGCAGCGGGAAAGCUAAAGUGUGACGCGGCUUAAGCAGCUUGUCUGAGUUUGCACAGCUGGCAAAUGGCUGAGCCAUGACUCACACCCAGGUCCAUCCACCGCCAAAGCUCCAGAUCUCUGGCAUCCUUCUAAGGUCAGAAAGGGAAAGAAAUCCCUAAUAAGGAGCCUGUGUGACGGCGUGCCCCCCUCCACUUUCCCACCCCUGCCAAGGACCCGUUUGAAGGCUGUUCACGCCAGUCACUGCAAUCACCAUUGAGCACAGAGAUGACAGUUCCAGCAAGCACUGACCUUCCAGCCCACUCUGCGGAGGAGAAGACUGAGGGGCAGAGAGGCUGUUGAUUUGCUGCAGUUGACUCUGACCCUAAUUUCCCGGCGCUGACUCAAACUCAUCAGGAACACUGCUUUCACUGAGUGUAUGAAGUGGUUUCUCCAUCCGUGUGGCUUUACCUGAACUCACACCGGUCCCACGGCCCAGGUGUGGAGCCGAGCACUCCCCUCUGCCUCCUCCCUGGACUGCAGGACCUGUGUCUCGCUUUAUGAAAGAGAUGCCAUUUGGGGAAGACUCGCAUUGUCGGGAGCGCUGUGGACGCUCCAGAAGGAGAUCAACACGAUGAUGACGAUGCCGGGUGGAGGGAAUGUGCACUUCUCGGGAGCCAGAAAAGAAUAAUCUGAAUGUCUCCAGCAUCAAGAAAAGACCAGUAUUGAAGGAGGAGCCAAAAGCAUUUUGCUGACCUCGGUGCAGAUCAACCCUGCAACAAGGUGCAGAAGAGGCACCAAAGGGGCUUUGUAGCCAGCAACAUGCCAGAUCCAUGCACCUUGUUGAUGCAGCCGACUCUGCAGGGGUGCAGGAGGGAUCACUGGAUUCAAAAGGCGCUGAGAAGCAUUUUCUCCUCCCGUCUUUUGGAGGUGUUUGUGAAGAUCUGAUAUUAACUCCUCUUCAGAUGUUUGGUAGAAUUCAGCAGUGAAGCUGUCUGCGGGGCAGAUGCCUAUGAAAGGCGCCCUGGUGUGUUCGAGGCACGAUGAGGAGCCUCCUACUCACCUGGCCUCCACCGCCCACCCAGCACCCCUGGGGACUGUCCCCAUCCCCCCAGGGACUCCAGAGGGAAUGUGUUUUGUGCCGUGUGGAAAACAAGCCAUGCUCACUGCACACCACGACAGUCCCUUCAAGCUGUCAGAGUCCCUGCAUGUGGAGUGAAAAGGGGGAAAAAAGACAAUUUACAAUUGCAAAUUGGAACCCCUCUCUCGGAGUGGAGUGAUAAUCCAGCUAGGGAGACAGACGGUGAGGAAGUGCUCCAGGAACAUGUUACAACACAUCACUGCCUAGCAGAGACGAGAGGCUCCAGGAAGGACCUGGUGCCUGCCAUUCCAACCUUGAGGGGCUCCUGGAGGGACGCUGAGGACAAGGCGGCUGUCCCAUCACCUCACUCUUGUCUCUGCCCUCACCUCUCCCCACCGUGCAGGGCUCAGGACUACGGGCGCCCAGACACAAAGGCCCAGAGCCACAGAACAGUGAACUCCACACUGUGCAGCUGUUGGCGGGAGGGGCGGGGAGAGAGACCAGAGUCCCAUUUCUGCUGCCUUUUAAAUAAAAGACAAGGAGGAUGGCGAGGAGGAGGUCAAAA